UUUUUCUUGCUCACCACUCCACAAUAUAUACAUACACAUCAUACAAAAAGACAAGGAGAAAAACAGAUUUUAAAUGAAAGGGGCACACGUUUUUUUGGAAAGAUAUUAGGGGGUGGGGCCCCCACAAUUAAAAGAAAAAGAAAAAUGAAAAAAAGAGGGGACAGGCACGUGAUUGAGGGGGCAUGAAUGAUAUAAAAACACACACACACACAUAACAAAAGGGACGGAGAAUAUUAUAGAAUAGUAGGGAGAGAGAAACGGAUAGAAAAGAUAAAAAAAGAAUAUAGAGAGAGAAGGUGACAGACGGAUCAAAAGAAAAAAAAUAUAUACUCAAAUCAUCAUCUUCUUCAUUACAAUCACCAUACCCAAACCACCGCAACCCACCGCCACCUCCACUAUUUCUUCACCGGAAAACCCAUAAAAACCAGCCCUGUUCCAUUUGUAAACAAGAAAAACAAAAAAAACAAAAAAGUAUCAUCUUCUUCAUUUUUUUAAUCACCCAUUAAACCACCAAAUCACCUCAUCUCCACUGUUCCAUCAACCAACACCCAUAACCACCCUAUAAUCUUAAACCCGCCGGAAACCACCUUUAACCCAUCUCGCCCAUACCAUUAAACCGCCGCCACCCUCAACGAACCACUGUUAAAAUACACCAAAAACAGUCAACAAUCAACCGUCAUCUCUUCAUCUCUAUUUUUAGCUUGAUUUUCCGGUAAGAAUUUUUGGGUUGUGUUCGGGACUAUCAAUGUUGGAUUCGACAAUAGACUGCUGUUUUGGGUUAGUCGCGGGUUCAAGUUCGAGUUUUCCGUUGGUUCGCGGUUUCCGGUCAGGCACCGUUUCAUUCGAAGUUCGAAUUUCAGAUUCGUUGGUUUAACAUUAAGGUAAAAUGGUUCACCCGAAGAGAUUGGGGCCACUGCCGAAGACCGUAUUUUCAAAAAUAGCAUGCCGCAAGGGCUAACAAAGGAUUUGGAUGCCAUAAGGGAAAACAUCUAGCCACGAGGGCUAUAAGAGAUUGGAAUGCCACAAGGGAAAACAUCUGGUCACGAGGGCUAAUAAAGGACGUAAACGCUGUAAGGGAAAAUAUCCGACCAAGAGGGUCACCACAAAGCAAUACAACAUAUUUGAUCAUGAGAGUCACAAUCGGCAUAAUGGAUGAAAGAAAGACAAUUUAGCCAAAGGCGACAUAUUUGUCAUUUGCAUGAUAUUUUCUUAUUUUCCAUGAGGGCCAUUACAUAUUUUUUCUUGUUGCCGUGAGGGCCAUUCAUAUUUUCUUAUUUGCCAUGAGGGCCAUUGCAUAUUUUUCUUGUUGCUCUGAGGGCCAUCAUAUUUUCUUAUUUGCCAUGAGGUCCAUUGCAUAUUCUUUCUUGUUGCUGGAGGGCCAUUGCAUAUUUUUUCUUGUCCCGUGAGGGCCAUCAUAUUUUCUUAUUUGCCAUGAGGGCCAUUGCAUUUUUUUUUUCUUAUUGCCAUGAGGGCCAUUGCCUAUUUUUUCUUGUUGCCAAGAGGGUCAUAUUCAUACAUACAUGCCGUGAGGGCCAUAUUCAUACAAACUUCCUAGAGGGCCAUAUUCAUACAAACACGCCGAGAUGGCCAUAUUCAUACAAAGACGCCGUGAGGGCCAUAUUCAUACAAAUGCCGUGAGGGCCAUAUUCAUACAAAUAUGUCGUGAGGGCCAUAUUCAUACAAGCUGCCGAGAGGGCCAUAUUCAUACAAACAUGCCGAGAGGGCCAUAUUCAUACAAACAUGCCGAGAGGGCCAUGUUCAAACAAACAUGCCGAGAGGGCCAUAUUCAUACAAUCACUGCCAGAAGGGCCAUUUAUACGUCAUUGCAUCCUGUCAAUGCCUGAACCUUGAAUAUUGUAUAUAUCCCUUGCAUUCUAUCUUUAAAGCUGCAUCUAUGUCUUGUCUAAAUUUUUCUUGACCCGAUGAGUAGCCAAACUGGGCCUUCUGUAAAGUCUACAUAAUUGUUUUACUUGAAUAUAAGCUGUGUAUAUAGAAGGUAUAUCAAUGUAUACCAAAUAUGUACAAGCUCUGUAUACCUAACGUAUAUAUGAAAUGGUAUAUCUAGUGUAUAUAUGGUAUACCACUUAGAAGAAUUCCAAAUUAUGUGUUUUGUGUAUUAGGAUGACAUAAUUUGGGCCUGGCUCCUAUUUGACUAGCCAUGUUAGUCUUGUUUUGUUUUUGCUCAUGUAUCCUUCUGCAUUUGGGCCUCCUUUCGCAGUUCUGUUUUAUGUUUGGGCAAGUCUACACUUGUUUAAAAGGACUAGAUUAAAAUUGGGAUUUUGUUUGUAUUGUUUGGCUUAGUAUAAGGUCAAUAUUUCAUUUUGUACUUUGUUUUGUUUAUAUACAUGAAUUAUACGCACUUAAUUAGUUUUUUACUUAGUAUAAACAUCCUCUAAUCCUUAUCCUUUUAUGUGUCUCAUGUAAAACAAACAACGGGUCACUUGGGCCAUUCUCUGCAUUUAAACCUGUUGGGCCAGAGGCUCAACCAUCAUUUUUUAUCGAUUCCGAAUAUGAAAAUAAGGGAAGCUAAUAUAUUGAAGUCUCAACCAUGGGUAAAAAUGGUAGAAGGCCCAGAUAUGGGUGAAAAUAGCCAACUGGUGGGCUUAGGUAGGCCCACCAACCUAACUCUCUAUUUACAUUCAUUUUCAUGUGUAUAUGUAUUUGUAAAGACAUGAAAAAAUAUUGAAAUCCCUUAUGCAUGUGUAGAACUUAGAAAA